GGUGAGAUGGCCGAGUGGUUAUGGCGCUGCGUUCAGGUUACAACUUGAAUCAUGAUAGAAAUAUCGCAGUGGAGCAAUCCGCGUGGGUUCGAGUCCCACUCUCAUCA